AGAACACUGUGCAAGCUUGUCAAGCUUCAUUCAGCUAAUUCAGAAUGAAACACCCAUCUAUUUACCCAAAGAAAAAUCCAUCAUGCAGAUACUUGCAUCAAAAAUGAGUUUCAACAUAGAUCCUCAAGGACCCCCAGGAGCUGUGAGUGACCAAACAAAGAUGGGAAAGUCUAUGGAAGGAGAAUGUUUGAGAACAAGAACAGAAAUUCAAUUUGGACAUGUGAAGUUUCUGAUGGACAUUGGCAUACAAACAGAGAUGUCAAGAAAGGCAGCUAGGUGUAUAAGGAAAUCAGAGAAAGGAUAGGGAAGAAGAUACAUGUUUUAGAGUCUUCAACAUAUAAAUGGGUUUGAAAUUGUUAGAUUGUGUGAGAUUACAAAGGAAUAGGAGAAAUAAAUUCAAAAGACUACUCCUUAUGAGAGGUGAAGCCCGCUGGACUUCCUGGGUCAAGUGGGGACUUGGAGAACUUUUCUGUCUAGCUAAAGGUUUGUAAACACACCAAUCAGCACUCUGUAAAAACGGACCAAUCAGCACUCUGUAAAAAUGGACCAAUCAGCGCUCUGUAAAAUGGACAAAUCGGCAGGACAUUGGUGUGGGGGGCGGGGGGGCUCCAAGUAAGAGAAUAAAAGCUGGCCCCCCGAGCCAGCAGUGGCAAUCUGCUCGGGUCCCCUUCCUCAAUGUGGAAGAUUUGUUCUUUCACUCUUCACAAUAAAUUUUGCUGCUGCUCA